rnacentral:rRNA from 1 species
UACGUAGGGUGCAAGCGUUGUCCGGAAUUAUUGGGCGUAAAGAGCUCGUAGGCGGUCUGUCGCGUCUGCUGUGAAAACCUAGGGCUUAACUCUGGGCGUGCAGUGGGUACGGGCAGGCUAGAGUGCGGUAGGGGAGACUGGAAUUCCUGGUGUAGCGGUGAAAUGCGCAGGUAUCGGGAGGAACACCGAUGGCGAAGGCAGUUCUCUGGGCCGUAACUGACGCUGAGGAGCGAAAGCGUGGGGAGCGAACAGG